rnacentral:tRNA from 1 species
GUUGAUGUAGCUUAUACAUAAAGCAAAGCACUGAAAAUGCUUAGAAGAGCUCUAAGCUCCAUAAACA